CUGAAGUGUUCAGAUUUUCCGUGUCAUCACUAAGAUAUCUGUAAGUGUUCCUGUUAUGAUGCAGAAAAUCAUCUUUGAGGAUGUUUAAGGAGUAAGUGCAGCACAGCAUACAACCAUCAUCUUCCACAGUGCGAACUGCUUGCUGAACACACCGAGGGGUGGAAGCAGGAGAGAAGAGAGUCUGAGGAUCCUGUCUUUCUACUUGGUGUUGGUGGUAACAAUUUCAGUGUUCAUGAGGAGAACUGACACAAUGAAUCAGAAGCAGAGAGAGGAAACACAGACUGAAGAAGCAGAGAGCUAUUUUUGAAGCUCCUUAAAUCAG
rnacentral:lncRNA from 1 species